AGUUAAAAAAUAAAAAAAUAAAAAAUAAAAAAAAUUGUGAAACGGAGGUGGUAAAUGAUAAACUUGAAAUUUCUCCUUAAAAACCCUUGAUGAUAAAACUCUUAACAACUCACUCAAUUCACUUCUCCUUGGAUAUCCUCUCUUCCUACUUCAAGCUUUCUUCUUUGAUGAUGCUCUUGCCAUAAUUAUCUUACUAUUUAUGCUCGCCAUUGAUGUUGCGUGUUCGAUUAUCGCUUCACUUAUCCAAUUAGGAGUUGAAUGACAGAUCAGAUUUGUUCCAAAUUAUUUGUAGUUCAAGCAUCUGCGAAGAUACUGUCUAAUUUUUGUAUGAUGUGUCUCAUUAAGUAGAUUAGCCCUCCCAGACUUAGCACCUGCCUACACCAUUAAGCCAAACGGAUCCUUUGGCCAUAUACUGCCUGUAUAGAGCAUUUUUCACUCUAUAUGUGCUGUGAUUUAUUACAAAGAUCGGGUGCAAUAUCCCUUGUAUACUCUAUGUCCAGUGUAAAUCCUGUUACUAGUGGUCUUGCAAAAAUUGGAUUUCAGUUAAAUAAAUCCACUUUUCUUCA